rnacentral:rRNA from 1 species
CAGUCGCCGCGGGAAAACGAAGGGUGCAAGCGUUACCCGGAAUUACUGGGCGUAAAGCGUGCGUAGGUGGUGGUUUAAGUCCGUUGUGAAAGCCCCGGGUUCAACCUGGGAAUUGCAGUGGAUACUGGGUCACUAGAGUGUGGUAGAGGAUAGUGGAAUUUCCGGUGUAGCAGUGAAAUGCGUAGAGAUCGGAAGGAACAUCUGUGGCGAAGGCGACUAUCUGGGCCAACACUGACACUGAGGCACGAAAGCGUGGGGAGCAAACAGGAUUAGAUACCCCAGUAGUCCCUGUCUCUUAUAC